rnacentral:lncRNA from 1 species
GGAUAUGUGCUCAUUAGGCUGACAUCAUCAGCUGAAAUGACGCCAUUCACAUCCAAGACUUAAUGCACUUGCUGUCGAUGUUUGAUGUAUGCCAGGCACAACCUUAUUCUCCACAAAAAGCCAAGGAAAGACCCAAGUAAUAACAAACUCAGAGAAUGGGAAGCAAGAAAAGGAGAGCAUGAAGUACACAGAUGAUAACAAAUAAUCCAGAAUUAUCAAGUCAAGAUCAAGGCCAAAACCAGCAAGGUCCAUAGACUCCCUAUCACUGGAUGAUCAAAGCAGGUGUUCUACUAGAGAGAAGAUAAAAAUGUGGUCUGUUGUGU